UGCAGGCGCUCUCGGAGCUUACAAGUUAGAAAGUGUGAAUAUGGGAGUGUGGCUCUGUGCGUGCGUGAUGGUGAGGUCGGUGCAGCUCGUAAUAAAAAUGAAUUCGUAUAUUUCAUGGCAAGAGGGAAGGGGAGGGGUGACGGGGCUUUCUCAAAACGCUUUUCCCCCUCUCGCCAGAGUGCCAGAUAGAUUCGAGGAAGAAAUUGGGUGGCUGUGUGCUAGUGUGUGAUUGUGCGCGCCAGACAUGGCCAUGUGAGUUGGUUCAUUCUUGGUCCCGUGCCCCUUCUGUUGGGUAAAACUUGGAUCUGGCCCGAGGGUCUUGCUCUGCUGUCCAGGCUGGAGUGCUGUGGCAUGAUUUUGGCUCACUUCAGCUUCAACUGCACAGGCUCAAGUGAUCCUCCCACCUCAGACUCCCAAGUAGCUUGGACUACAGAGGGCCUAAUCAUGAGAUGAAGCGGAGAAAUAAUGAAGUGCUUAUGAACAUUAUGGAGACCAGAAAUUGCAGGAAAUCCAGAACAUCCAGAGGCUUGACAUUCACGGGGUGGCCCAGAAUUUAUGCUCUAAAUGCAGAGCAUCUCCAGAGACAUCCACAGGUCUGUCAUUAAGACAAUAUAUUAUCCUAAUCAGUACAACUACUAAUGGGGUGGAUGAUAUUUUAAUAUAUUUUAAGAGGAUGUAGAAGGAUCUUCUGGAGGUAAUUAUUUUAGAGAGAUGGCUAAUUAUCUCAUGUUUAAAGAUCUCCAGGAAAGAUGACUUUAUUAACCUUGAGCCUUACAUUUCUUUUUCUACAGUUUUUAGAAUAUAACCUGAAUAGUAGUGGCCACAUAUAAUGCCUCCCAGGAUGACAUUAAAUCACAUUUCUCCCAGGAUGACAUUUGUUUGCUCAUAAUGUAUAACCAAGGAUACACACACACACACACACACGCACACACCAGAGCUUAAGAUCCACAUGGAAUAACAGACUUCUUGUUCUGAGUUGAGUUGAUAUCAUUUCAUUCUAAAGCAGAGAGAUUUGAUGGUUUUGAGAUCUUGAUGUUUUAGGUAGUCCAUCACAGCUUUGUGCCGGGUAAGUGUAUUAUUUGCUUUAUGAAAUACUAGAAAUACCUUAUGGGUCUUCAGUUUUUUCCCUAUGAAUCCUUAGAUGUCCUGGGAUCUGAGGCUGAAACCCACUGGUUUACAGAAUGGAAACAAUGGAGUCACUGCUUGUACCUUAUGG